rnacentral:rRNA from 1 species
AGUGAACGCUGGCGGUAGGCCUAACACAUGCAAGUCGAACGGCAGCACAGAGGAGCUUGCUCCUUGGGUGGCGAGUGGCGGACGGGUGAGGAAUACAUCGGAAUCUACUCUGUCGUGGGGGAUAACGUAGGGAAACUUACGCUAAUACCGCAUACGACCUACGGGUGAAAGCAGGGGACCUUCGGGCCUUGCGCGAUUGAAUGAGCCGAUGUCGGAUUAGCUAGUUGGCGGGGUAAAGGCCCACCAAGGCGACGAUCCGUAGCUGGUCUGAGAGGAUGAUCAGCCACACUGGAGCUGAGACACGGUCCAGACUACUACGGGAGGCAGCAGUGGGGAAUAUUGGACAAUGGGCGCAAGCCUGAUCCAGCCAUACCGCGUGGGUGAAGAAGGCCUUCGGGUUGUAAAGCCCUUUUGUUGGGAAAGAAAUCCAGCUGGCUAAUACCCGGUUGGGAUGACGGUACCCAAAGAAUAAGCACCGGCUAACUUCGUGCCAGCCGCCGCUGUAA